GGUCGCAUGGUGUAGUUGGUUAUCACGUCAGCUUAACAAAAUCGACUGUCCGAGCCUUUGGGCAUCGUCAGAUUGACAAGUUCCGCUGAAGGUCCUCAGUUCAAUCCUGAGUGCGAUCA